rnacentral:rRNA from 1 species
UACGAAGGGGGCUAGCGUUGCUCGGAAUCACUGGGCGUAAAGGGUGCGUAGGCGGGCCUUUAAGUCUGGGGUGAAAUCCUGGAGCUUAACUCCAGAACUGCCUUUGAUACUGAAGAUCUUGAGUUCGGGAGAGGUGAGUGGAACUGCGAGUGUAGAGGUGAAAUUCGUAGAUAUUCGCAAGAACACCAGUGGCGAAGGCGGCGCACUGGCCCGAUACUGACGCUGAGGCACGAAAGCGUGGGGAGCAAACAGG